UCAAACUGACAUGUAGUAACGCUACAGAAUCUACCCUGAGUUUUGUGUCCGAAGACCCUCUGAAAGAAUACAACCUAGAGCUGACUUCACCUUGUGCCUGCCCAGGUCAUGCCGACAGCUGUGGAAAACUCCCCAAAGUUGACUGUCUGAAGGAAGAUGAGUGUUCAUGUCGAAUGUCUGACGGAAGUGGAACCAUUAAUCUGUGGGCCCUUAAUUCACCGCAGACACCCAUCCAGUAUACUUCUUCCGGUCACAAUCAGUACCUGUACAACCCGUGUCAGGGUUUCAGCAUCAGCAAUAAGAAGGCAAGUGUUAACCAGUGCAAGGAUGUGUCCCUUUGUGAACGGGAAAAUCUUGGACUGGCCACGGAGCGUAACAUAGACAUAGGCAAGCCAUCUGGCGUCAGAUUUG